UACUUCAACCAUAGCUGAAUUAAUUGCCGUGGAGAAAGACACUACGUUCAUUGAGGGUUACAUGUCUUCAUCUAAAAUGAUAUACAGACGGUGGUGGAGAAAGACCACGAUUUUUCUAGGGUUUACUUUGAUUCAUGGAGCACAACCGAAAGAGUUGUCUCACAAAAGCUGAAGAAAAAUCUCAGGUUGACUUGAAGAUAUUUUAGCUGAACUGUUCGUUUCCAGAAUUGAGGAAUCUGAUGUUCGUCGGUUGCUCUUUUAUAAUAAUGAUGUACAGGUGUUGACUAUUAUACCAUUAGAUCGAAUCGAGUGCAUGACAAUGGAGGGAAGUUGAUUUGUAUGCAUAAGUCUGAUCCAUAUUGUCACAGUUCAUAAUUAGAACAGAAUUUGUGUGCUCACUCAGAUUAUCACUAAAUUAUGUUUUUAUUAUUACAGGAGAUUGUACCAGUCGAUGAGGUAUUCGAAACGUUGAAAUGUACAAAAACGGGAUUGACGACUGAAGAAGGGAACAGGAGGCUUGCUGCUUUUGGCCCUAACAAGCUAGAAGAGAAGCAUGAAAGUAAGCUUCUCAAGUUCUUAGGGUUCAUGUGGAAUAUAUUGUCAUGAGUCAUGGAAGCCGCUGCAAUCAUGGCUAUCGUCUUGGCGAAUGGAGGGGUAUCUCUCUUUCUCAAAUCGAAAAUAAUUUGAAUAUUUUGAUGCUCAUAUACUUUAUGCGAUGAAUCUGGACUUGCUUAUGAAAACGAUGUUCUUCGAGGAGAGAUGGAAAACUUAAAGUGCUUCAUAUCGUUGACUCGACAACCUGGUCAACUUGGUUUCCUAGAAUACACUCCUGCUGCUGUUCCAAGUAGCAGCGCUGCCCACUCGAAGCAUGAUCGGGUUAGCCUGGAUACCGUAUGCUACUAUGGAUCCGAUAACACCGAUUCAGAAACAACACUUCAGUUGAGGCUACCUUGCGGUGACCAUUCGAGAAAGAAGGAGACAACGGUGUUGCAAAACAGGGAUACCAAUUCAAGCAGUUGUGGAAGUAAUGAGAUGGAACAAUGAUCAUUGGACGUUUUGGGAAUUGAUGGAUUCAUGUUGGAAGCUUUGUCAAGAGCGGCUUAUGGGCAACAACCUUGGCGGCGCAAGCGUUCAGCAACUGCACCAACUAGAGAAGCUAUUUUCUUUAAAAGGUUGGAAAGUCUUCAACCAUGUGAUGUAUCAGAACUAAGGCUAAGACUGGUGGGUGUGGGCGUUUCGGCCCUUUAAUGCCAGGUGCUCCACCCUGGGUCGGCAUUUUGGUGGGCGUUGCCUGCUUGACGUGGGGCGCUGGCCUGGGGUGAUGUGGCUGACAAUGGUUGGCUGGGUGUUGAUGACCAUUUAGCAAGGUGCCACAUGGCACCUCAACGCCGGCCUGGCCACGCCCCUUCCACACCCCAGUUUUUUGGGUGUGGACUGGUGGAGCCCACACCUGCCACGUGUCGAGCAAUGCUCCCAACCCAAGCCCCUCCACAUCCCGAUAAUCUAAGGUUGGUUUUAGCUAUUAAGCGAGGAAAUUGAAGAGGAGCCAGACUCAUACUAAAAGCAACAAGAGGCAUAUGCUCCUUAUGUUGGUUCAUUACCGCAUGAUAAAAUGGUCAUUAUCGUUAUGCAUACGGCGAUGAGGCAUGAUUUGCAUGUGAGUGUGGUUGAAGCAGCUAUUCAAGAGUUUUUACUAAUUUUUUUAUUUGUUAUUAAUAUAUUUUCUUUCAUAUCAAUUGUUUACAAUAGGUUUAGUGUUA